rnacentral:SRP_RNA from 1 species
GCCGAGUUCAGUAACGUGAGCUUGUAACCUAAGUAGGGGCAUUAAUGUGAUGAGACACGUUCUCAGCCAUUUGGGUCGGACCUUCGGGUUGCAUAAUGCUGGCUCGCCCUAUCCAAGUUGGGAGUUGGUCCAUAUGGGUUGAGCGAAGGCUCGAUCUUCAUGGCCCUAAAUUAAGUGGAGGGGACCGCGUGAGGCUGGUUUCACAGAGCAAUGAAAACCUCCCUUUUCUGUCAGUGGAAGGAUUUCGAGUUUGCGCCACCCAGGUCCAAUAGGAGCGCCCACUUGGCGAAGCCCUUAAUUGGACCAUCACUUCU